GAUGAACGCUGGCGGCGUGCUUAACACAUGCAAGUCGAACGGAAAGGCCAGUGCUUGCACUGGUACUCGAGUGGCGAACGGGUGAGUAACACGUGGGUGAUCUGCCCUGUACUUCGGGAUAAGCUUGGGAAACUGGGUCUAAUACCGGAUAGGACAACUUUUUGGAUAUUGUUGUGGAAAGCUUUUGCGGUAUGGGAUGAGCUCGCGGCCUAUCAGCUUGUUGGUGGGGUAAUGGCCUACCAAGGCGUCGACGGGUAGCCGGCCUGAGAGGGUGUACGGACACAUUGGGACUGAGAGACGGCCCAGAGUCCUACGGGAGGCAGCAGUGGGGAAUAUUGCACAAUGGGCGCAAGCCUGAGGCAGCGACGCCGCGUGGGGGAUGAAGGCCUUAGGGUUGUAAACUCCUUUCGCUAGGGACGAAGCGUUUUUGUGACGGUACCUGGAGAAGAAGCACCGGCUAACUACGUG
rnacentral:rRNA from 1 species